rnacentral:lncRNA from 1 species
AGUGGUCACUGAGGAAGAAUAUAAGUUAGCCUCGUAGUGACCAUGUGGAAGUCCUGACCUCGCUUGCAGACUUGACCUCUGGAUGUGACAAGGUAGCUUCACUACAGCUCUACUAUUUAAUCCUGGAAACUAAAAACCAAAAAAAAAAAAAAAAAAAAUCUAAAAGCAAGAAAGAUGCAGACUAUUUCCUAAGAAGUCAGAAGAACCCAAUGUAUUCUGGAGGGCAAAGAAAAACAGGGUGAGGUUCUGUGUUCACUGAUACAUCCCCUUCCUUCACCGGGCUCAUGAAAAGAAAUGCUGAAUCAGCAAAUAGAGUGAACGAACAAUCAAGAUGAGAUGGCUGCUGUUGAUGUGAUUCUCUAGGUUACUACCUUUCUUCCUGCUGCAAAUGCUGCAUGACACUAAGCUUACAGGAUCUAGAAGCAGACUACAAAAAAAGAAGAAAUUCACUCUGAAGACUGAAGAAACACUAGGCUGAUCUUAAGUUUCCGAAAUACACUCUGUAACACUACACUGAUUCUUUGAAUCUCUUGCAAAAAGAAUCAAACCAGGACAAAGUUCAACAGAUAACUGGUCAAAUGCUUAGGAAUGUCUAUGUCCACCAAGAAUAUGGAACCAUUAAUGCCAUGCUUCAGGUAAACUUGUUACAAAAUUUAGUCUUCGAUAAAUUAGUCUCUGCAAAUGAUUUACCAUUGCUCUACAUUAGUAAGCUGAAUGUUUCACUAACAAAUAAGAAAAUAAAA